rnacentral:rRNA from 1 species
AUUGAACGCUGGCGGCAGGCCUAACACAUGCAAGUCGAACGAGAGGCGGACGGGUGAGUAAAGUCUGGGAAACCGCCCGAUGGAGGGGGAUAUCUACUGGAAACGGUAGCUAAUAUCGCAUACCAUCUGAUGUGCCCAGAUGGGGUUAGCUAGUGGGUGGGGGAACGGCUCACCAAGGCGACGAUCCGUAGCUGGUCUGAGAGGAUGACCAGCCACACUGGAACUGAGACACGGCCCAGACUCCUACGGGAGGCAGCAGUGGGGAAUUUUGCACAAUGGGGGAAAGCCUGAUGCAGCCAUCCCGCGUGUAUGAAGAAGGCCUUCGGGUUGUAAAGUACUUUCGGCGGAGAGGCGGUACCCGCAGAAGAAGCACCGGCUAACUCCGUGCCAGCAGCCGCGGUAAUUC